rnacentral:tRNA from 1 species
AAGAUAUUAGUAAAAUUCCAAUUACAUUACCUUGUCAAGGUAAAAUUACAGGUUAAAGCCCUGCAUAUCUUU